CCCUUAGACGUUCUGGGCCGCACGCGCGCUACACUGACCAGUGCAACAAGCAUCCGUCCUUGGCCGACAGGCCCGGGCAAUCUUUGAACGCUGGUCGUGAUGGGGAUAGACUUUUGCAAUUUUUGGUCUUCAACGAGGAAUUCCUAGUAAACGCAAGUCAUCAACUUGCAUUGAUUACGUCCCUGCCCUUUGUACACACCGCCCGUCGCGCCUACCGAUUGAAUGGUCCGGUGAAGCCUCCGGAUUGGCGCGCACCUCGGAGCCGCCGAGAAGUUGGCUAAACCUUACCAUUUAGAGGAAGGUGAAGUCGUANCA
rnacentral:rRNA from 1 species